AUUGAACGCUGGCGGCAGGCCUAACACAUGCAAGUCGAGCGGAUGAAGGGAGCUUGCUCCUAUAUUCAGCGGCGGACGGGUGAGUAAUGCCUAGGAAUCUGCCUGGUCGUGGGGGAUAACGUCCGGAAACGGGCGCUAAUACCGCAUACGUCCUGAUGGAGAAAGUGGGGGAUCUUCGGACCUCACGCUAUCAGAUGAGCCUAGGUCGGAUUAGCUAGUUGGUGGGGUAAAGGCCUACCAAGGCGACGAUCCGUAACUGGUCUGAGAGGAUGAUCAGUCACACUGGAACUGAGACACGGUCCAGACUCCUACGGGAGGCAGCAGUGGGGAAUAUUGGACAAUGGGCGAAAGCCUGAUGCAGCCAUGCCGCGUGUGUGAAGAAGGUCUUCGGAUUGUAAAGCACUUUAAGUUGGGAGGAAGGGCAGUAAGUGAAUACCUGGCUGUUUUGACGUUACCAACAGAAUAAGCACCGGCUAACUUCGUG
rnacentral:rRNA from 1 species